UCUUUCGGGGUAUAUGGGUCCUUCUAAGCGAGCAUUACUCCUAGGGAUCGAACUUUAGUAUUUGGUCUUGUGCAAUACCAAAGAAUACAAGAGGUCCUUACACCACUAAACUAAAUUCUUGGAUUAUGUUAUAGGUCUAUAAUCUGCUUGAAUGGUAAAAACUGAUAAAUAUGUUAUCCAAUUGAGUAAAUUACACUGACACCCCCUGAGUUUUAGCGAAAUUACACAAACCACCCCUCACUUUUCUAAACUUACACAAACCUCCCCUAGUUUUGUACUUUCAUUACAUUGACCACCCCUGUAUAAGAAAUAAGUGUAAUCUUUUAAACAAAAAAUGUGAUAAAUGCAAUUAAGUUAAACAAAACAUGAUAUAUUGUGUAGACAAGUCUAAAUAAUAUACAAAUCAAUGUAUCUUUAUUAUUUUUUGUUGAUGCAUUUAGUAACAAAAAAAUAAUAAAGAUACAUUGAUUUGUAUAUUAUUUAGACUUGUCUACACAAUAUAUCAUGUUUUGUUUAACUUAAUUGCAUUUAUCACAUUUUUGUUUAAAAAAUUACACUUAUUUAUUAUACAGGGGUGGUCAGUAUAAUGAAAGUAUAAAAGUAGGGGAGGUUUGUGUAAGUUUAAAAAAAUGAGGGGUGGUUUAUGUAAUUUCACUAAAACUCAGGGGGUGUCAGUGUAAUUUACUCUAUCCAAUUUCAUGAAAAAGUUGAAGUCGUAAGAUUUCAUGAAAUUUUGUGCAUUUUAUUUUGCCAGGGCUGCUUUCAAUAGUGUCUGGUGAUCUGUUUUGUAUUUGUGGGGCA
rnacentral:lncRNA from 1 species